UACGUAGGGUGCAAGCGUUGUCCGGAAUUACUGGGCGUAAAGAGCGCGCAGGCGGCUGGUCAAGUCCGAUGUGAAAGCUCCCGGCUUAACUGGGAAAUUGCAUCGGAAACUGAUCGGCUGGAAGGUGGGAGAGGGUAGCGGAAUUCCCGGUGUAGUGGUGAAAUGCGUAGAUAUCGGGAGGAACACCAGUGGCGAAAGCGGCUACCUGGCCCAUUCUUGACGCUGAGGCGCGAAAGCUAGGGGAGCAAACGGG
rnacentral:rRNA from 1 species